AUCGUUUAGCCUGGUGGGCAAACACAUAAUCUAGAAAUGCAGACAAAAUCCUCAAAAUGCAUGCAGAGCAGAAAGCAGCUGAGAGAUCAAGAUGUAAUCUCUAACCAUGGGUCAACAUUUAGGUCAAUAGCAAUAUCUCUUGGUGGCCUCUUAGGGACGGAGCCCUGGACUCUCAGUGAGUAGUCAUGAUGUCUCAUCCACAGUAAACCCCAAGCAUCUAUCGGCAACAUCAGCAUU
rnacentral:lncRNA from 10 species